AAAAGUAAUAGGGAGCGGGCCCGGAGGGAUUCGAACCCUCGGCCCAUCGGUUAAGAGCCGAUUGCUCUACC
rnacentral:tRNA from 1 species